CGCAAUUUUCUGACAGUUUCAUCUCCGAAAGUCAGCGUCGCGACGUCGCACCAAAACUUGUUUUGUUUACGUAUUUUGUUGGCUUCACGCGGUUCACGGUCCGGUGAAGAACGAUUUUUUUGUUGAUUCGGAAGUGAAUUCCGUCGGGAUUCCGAUUCUUACGAUCUAAAUCCAUCGGAAAAUUCGAUAGUUCGCACGACGAGUGUGGUGCGGCAAUGCGAAUUACGACGUCGCCGGGAGAGCAGCAGCGCGAAUAAAAUAUUAAGUGUUUCCUGCUGGGGCAAUUUGUUUUCCACCGGUGCUGCAGUUGCAAGAAUGGCAGCAGCGGCGAACGAGCUACUUGUGAGCGGGUCGAGCGGUUGCAAUGAAGCAUUAAAAUCUGUGCAUUGUGCAUUUAAUAUCUGGCCAUUGUGCGGGGUAAUCACUGGAGGACAAUUAUUGUGCAGGGGUAUGCCGUGAGUCCGCCGACGGAAACGGUCAUAAGGGAAAAAAAACUAGAUACGCUGUCAAUGAUCGAACCGGAAUGUAAAAUUGUCAAUAGGCAAAGAAAGCUCGAUUUUGAGAGCUAUGGAAGUGCUCAUACAUAAUAUAACAUUAAACUGGAACAAACGCUUUACCUCAGUGGGUGCGUUACACCCAGCCAAAAGACAUGUGAAAUUGGGCCCUGGAAAUCCAAAUCCGCCGAUAUGAUCAUAUGUCGCCUGAGGUAUCAGGUUAUAACCGAAUUUUCUCUGUUAUCUACUCGAUCUAUUUGAACGUCAAACAUGCCAAGCAACCACAUCUACAACUGCACAGGCCCAUCGCUGGUUACGCACAAUAUUCCCGACAGAGCGUAUCCAUCCGAAUUUCAGGCUGCUGGAGUCCUACCUAAAGACGGACUAUAUCCUACCGGAGGUCUACCAGGUAGCCGUGCCAGAUUUUUCUGCUGGGGUAAUGAAGAACUACGGAUUGGUGACCUACAAGGAGGAGCGACUGCAGAAAAACUUCGUCAUCGCUAUCCAGCAAGCACUGAAAAAUGCCACGGUAAUCACCGUUCCUCCAUCCAUCCAUUAGAUGUUCUCAAAUCGUGCACCGAUAAAAGUGGAUACCCAGUCGUAACUGAAUCCACGGGAAUAGAUCUGAUCGCUUCCAGCAAAGCUACAUGCUCAAGAUCACGAAUACCACCUAUGCUUUAUGUACAAUUCCCGACAAGUUCGCCAUAACUAGGAAUUCUAACUUCAACACAACCGCCGACACCAGAUGGCUUCUCACCAACAGCACAAUCCGGCAGCCAAAGGAUACUUUGCAAUUGAUUGGAUCAUUGCAGUUAUGCAAACUGGUCAUGAACUAGCAUGAAGCGUUGGAUUUCGUCUUGAAAUUAAUUUUGGAAGAAUAUGUAUUUCAGUUUUCCUACCGAAACGCCCCGAGCCGGUGGAGAUGUGCAUCGAUUUUGCCGCUACGUAACAAUUCCUGACAACUAUGGAUUUAUUGAUAAGUCCGGGACCAAAUCAACCGCCAGUCAAACGACGAUUCUUGAAGGAACUAAUUCGACGGAACACGAAGCUCAUUACCAUCAGAUCCAGAAUACGCUAGACCAUCAAUUAUUGUUACAAUAAUUAUGCUUGUUUACUAGUUUUAGAAUAUUCAAUAAAUUCAAUGGGGCGCUGGGGUCGGUGGGUGGUUUUA